AGUACUUCGGGCUGAAACAUUCCACGGACUAGACGAAUAAGAGAACGUUCUUCAUCUUUGGGACUCAGGACUGUUGCACAUUCUUCAGAGAACGGCUAAAGGCUUCCUAGCAGCACAACACGGACUGUACCAGCAUAAAAACUUUGCAGGGCUUGGACAGGGGAGCGAGCCUACAGCCCAGCAGGCAGACCCUCCUCUUCCUGACCCACAGCUGCCCUGAACGCUCCACCCGCCUCUAAUGCCUGUCUGGGUCAUUUAAUCUGCCAGAAGGGAGUCGAGCUUCCACAGACGCCCGAGAACGACUCAGUCGUCAUCGCGGAAAGCUCCGGUGACAGAGGGCAGUGGCGGUUCUGGAGGUGGGAGAUGCAGCUGUUCGCGGUGACAACUCCCGACGUUUUACCACGCUGCCACGUUUCUAUCAGGGGGAAGGGACCGUUGGACCUACCAGGAGAUUGGGUUUGCCCUGGCUGUGGGCGGAGUCUAACCCUCUGAGGAUUCGGGAUGCAGUGCUCUGUCGCUCCACUGCCUGAUUGUCAGCAGUGGUUGAGAUACAGUGCUUUGCUGAUGGGAUGAACAAGACAAAUUCCCUGUGUAAUUCACAAGGACUCCACUGGCUGGACUACAAGAUGCUAAUCACAACUCCACGACCAUCAGAGGACGCUUCAGGACUCGGGCGUUCUGCUAAUCUAAUCUCAUCUUUGUCGGGGUGGUGGUGGUGGGGGGGGAAGCCUCAUCCUUUAAUCAAACACAUUUCGCCUGUGCGUUUGUAAAAAUCUUCCCUCUGACUUUUCGGCAGGCUUCACCUUUAUCUGCCCAGACAAGGGCGAGAUACCGGCAGAAACAGAAAGCAAAACUGUCCAUCUGUCGUGUUUUAUUUUGCUUUGCUGAUGUCUGCGUUACGCAGGCUUCCUCCACUCCCAAUCCAUCUCUUUGUAUUUAUUUCCUGUGCUGUGAGUUCCGUAGUUAGUGGAUGGCUCUGAAAUGCCAGCUGUCAGAGUGACAGACGCGGUGUCACCUCUGUGCAGCCCCAUCACCGAGGUGACAAGCCGUCAGCGGGUGCCGGGGUGGAUGGAUGAAAGAGAGUUGGACAGGGAGUGUAGGUGUUUGUUUGGCGACGAUGAGCUGGUGUUUUCUUUUUGUUGUUGUUUUUUUGUUUUUAAUCUGACAGGAUUCCUUUUGAAUGAACUGGCAGGAGAGGAAAAUAAAAAAAUUAAAUACAAAAACAAUUCCACAAAUACAAACACGUGCUGGGACGGAAAGCAACAUGCAAAGCUGCACACUUUGCAGAUCCCGUCUGGCUCCGUAUUUGGACAUGACGGAUGUUAAGGUGAGAGGAAGAGCCUGCGGUGGGUCCAGGAAAGGUCACAACAGAAGCAGACAGAGAGGAGCGAGAUAACGGACGAGAAAAUCCUCAGUUGAAGGGCAGCGGAGGAGGGGGAAUAUCGAUGGAGGGAUGAUGGAGAAAUGAAACUCUGAUGUUAGGAGCAGGUGGACAAAAUACUCAACUCUAGUGCUUUAGCAAAGGUAUCGACACUGAUGGGAAAUUUUACCCAAUUGCGAGUAAUUAUUACUCGGUCAAAAGUUUACUAAAGUCGAUGUACUGACAUUCUUUUGAAAGUAAGUAUUAAAAAGUACGACUUCUAUUUUCUAACAUCAGUUCAUUCCUGUACUGCUCUUAUAGAACCUUGUAACUUUCUGAAGCCACUUGAUGAUGUACUGACAUGUAGAACCACUCUGCUACAAAAUGUCUACCGCACCUGUAAGAAGCUCAGCAUGAAAACACCAAAAAAAUACAAUUUUUAAUGGUUUCUGGAAGCUGUGUUUCUUGUUCCACUGUCUGACUCCAUUCAGACGUUAC